CUCUAUGGCUGUAGAGUGGAGGGGAUGGCUUGGCUUUGUGGAAACCAGGGAAGUUCCCGUUUGUCCCUCUAAUGAUGCAGAUCUUCACUUUAGUAGUACCAAGCUGAAUAUUUUGACACAGAAACUUAGGGUCGCCAUCAUCUGCAGCCCUCACUAUGAAACAGAAGAGUAAGGAAGCUUGAAGAGCCUCUUGAUUCCCAGGUUUCCAAGCAGCAUCUUCAGUUUCCCUGUCUGUUUCUGGGACUCUCAAGCUGAUAGUGGGAGACUUCCUUUCCUAAAGGAGCAGGAGCGAGUGCUGUUUUCUUUUUCUGUAGACAUAAGCGACACCUAGAGGACAGAGAGCUCAAAAACAGUGUACAGGUGUCUUCAUGGAUGUCUCUGCACUGCACAUGUGCAGUACCUGAAGAGACCAGAAGAGGGUGCUGGGUCCUCUGAAACUAGAGUUGCAGUUUCCUGUGCUCAGUUUCCUGAGAAGCAGUCGUCGUCAUCGUCAUCGUCAUCGUCGUCGUCGUCGUUGCUGCUGCUAUUGUAACUGCUUUGCUUUACAACUGUCAUUAAAUUCAUCUCCAGAGAAUCAGA